CCUACGGGAGGCAGCAGUGGGGAAUAUUGCACAAUGGGGGAAACCCUGAUGCAGCGACGCCGCGUGAGUGAAGAAGUAUCUCGGUACGUAAAGCUCUAUCAGCAGGGAAGAAAAUGACGGUACCUGACUAAGAAGCCCCGGCUAACUACGUGCCAGCAGCCGCGGUAAUACGUAGGGGGCAAGCGUUCUCCGGAUUUACUGGGAGUAAAGGGAGCGUAGACGGCAGUACAAGGCUGGAGUGAAAGCCCGGGGCUUAACCCCGGAACUGCUUUGGAAACUGUGCGGCUGGAGUGCAGGAGGGGUAAGUGGAAUUCCUAGUGUAGCGGUGAAAUGCGUAGAUAUUAGGAGGAACACCAGUGGCGAAGGCGGCUUACUGGACUGUAACUGACGUUGAGGCUCGAAAGCGUGGGGAGCAAACAGGAUUAGAUACCCCAGUAGUC
rnacentral:rRNA from 1 species